ACGGAGGGUGCAAGCGUUAUUCGGAAUUACUGGGCGUAAAGCGCGUGUAGGCGGUCCUGCAAGUCUGAUGUGAAAGCCCCGGGCUUAACCCGGGAAGUGCAUUGGAAACUGUGGGACUUGAGUACAGGAGAGGAAAGGGGAAUUCCUGGUGUAGCGGUGAAAUUCGUAGAUAUUAGGAGGAACACCAGUGGCGAAGGCGACUAUCUGGACUGUAACUGACACUGAGACACGAAAGCGUGGGGAGCAAACAG
rnacentral:rRNA from 1 species